AAGCUCGUAGUUGAAUUUCGGAAUGCAUGAGUCAAAGCUCGUCCUUGUGGCGUGGCUGGAUUUGUGUUUCCUACCUUCCGAUAGUAUGCCGUUAAAAGCAUGCUUCGGAUCAUUUACUUUGAAAAAAAUUAGAGUGUUCAAAGCAGGCGUAACCUUGCCAUUGAAUAUUACAGCAUGGGAUAAUAGAAUAUGACGUUGGUCUUAUUUUGUUGGUUUCUAAGGCUGAUGUAAUGAUUAAUAGGGAUAGUUGGG
rnacentral:rRNA from 1 species